AUUGAACGCUGGCGGCAGGCCUAACACAUGCAAGUCGAGCGGAUGAAGGGAGCUUGCUCCUGGAUUCAGCGGCGGACGGGUGAGUAAUGCCUAGGAAUCUGCCUGGUAGUGGGGGAUAACGUCCGGAAACGGGCGCUAAUACCGCAUACGUCCUGAGGGAGAAGUGGGGGAUCUUCGGACCUCACGCUAUCAGAUGAGCCUAGGUCGGAUUAGCUAGUUGGUGGGGUAAAGGCCUACCAAGGCGACGAUCCGUAACUGGUCUGAGAGGAUGAUCAGUCACACUGGAACUGAGACACGGUCCAGACUCCUACGGGAGGCAGCAGUGGGGAAUAUUGGACAAUGGGCGAAAGCCUGAUCCAGCCAUGCCGCGUGUGUGAAGAAGGUCUUCGGAUUGUAAAGCACUUUAAGUUGGGAGGAAGGGCAGUAAGUUAAUACCUUGCUGUUUUGACGUUACCAACAGAAUAAGCACCGGCUAACUUCGUG
rnacentral:rRNA from 1 species